AGGUAACUAAUUUAAACUAAAAUAACUAAUUUCGACUUAGCUAAUCAUGAUUAAUAAACAUGGUUACCUU
ensembl:Mt_tRNA